rnacentral:lncRNA from 1 species
GCCGCACUUGUGAUGGACUUUGGAAUUAUUGGUUUCACCACGGCCACAUCCUUUUUUUUUUUUUUUGGUUUGCAAUUUUGAAAACACCAAAACUAGAUAAUACUUUUGUUUGUACUACUUUGUAUUUGUUAACGUGACAAAAGAUUUGUAACCGUUAUGUUAAGAAUUACACACAAUCGAACACGAGUAUUACAUCUUUCGAUUCUCAACUAUCUCUCAGAAGUAAGAACAUUUGUUUGAACUCG